GUCUUCGGAUUGUAAACCUCUGUCCCCCAGGACGAAAAAAAUGACGGUACUGGGGGAGGAAGCUCCGGCUAACUACGUGCCAGCAGCCGCGGUAAUACGUAGGGAGCGAGCGUUGUCCGGAAUUACUGGGCGUAAAGGGUGCGUAGGCGGCAUGGCAAGUCAGAUGUGAAAUACCCAGGCUUAACUUGGGGGGUGCAUUUGAAACUGCUGGGCUUGAGUACAGGAGAGGAAAGCGGAAUUCCUAGUGUAGCGGUGAAAUGCGUAGAUAUUAGGAGGAACACCAGUGGCGAAGGCAGCUUUCUGGACUGAGACUGACGCUGAGGCACGAAAGCGUGGGGAGCAAACAGGAUUAGAUACCCUGGUAGUCCACGCUGUAAACGAUGGAUACUAGGUGUGGGGGAGAUACAACCUCUGUGCCGGAGCAAACGCAAUAAGUAUCCCGCUGGGCCA
rnacentral:rRNA from 1 species